rnacentral:rRNA from 1 species
GACGAACGCUGGCGGCGUGCUUAACACAUGCAAGUCGAACGGAAAGGCUCCACCUUGCUGGGGUACUCGAGUGGCGAACGGGUGAGUAACACGUGGGUAAUCUGCCCUGCACUCUGGGAUAAGCCUGGGAAACUGGGUCUAAUACUGGAUAUGACCUUUCGCCUUAUGGGGGUUGUUGGAAAGUUUUUCGGUGUAGGAUGAGCCCGCGGCCUAUCAGCUUGUUGGUGGGGUGAUGGCCUACCAAGGCGACGACGGGUAGCCGGCCUGAGAGGGUGAUCGGCCACAUUGGGACUGAGAUACGGCCCAGACUCCUACGGGAGGCAGCAGUGGGGAAUAUUGCACAAUGGGCGGAAGCCUGAUGCAGCGACGCCGCGUGAGGGAUGACGGCCUUCGGGUUGUAAACCGCUUUCAGCAGGGACGAAGCGUGAGUGACGGUACCUGCAGAAGAAGCACCGGCUAACUAUGUG